AAGUCGUAACAAGGUUUCUGUAGGUGAACCUGCGGAAGGAUUAUUACCUAGAGUUUGUGGGCUUUGCCCGCUACCUCUUACCUAUGUCUUUUGAGUACUUACGUUUCCUUAGCGGGUUCGCCUGCCGACUGGACAAAAUUAAACCCUUUGCAGUUGCAAUCAGCGUCUAAAAAACAUAAUAGUUACAACUUUCAACAACAGAUCUCUUGGUUCUG
rnacentral:misc_RNA from 1 species